rnacentral:rRNA from 1 species
CACCCGCGCCACAAGUGGUCAUCGCGUUUAUUGGGCCUAAAGCGUCCGUAGCCGGCUCUGCACGUCUUGGGUGAAAUCGUUGCGCUUAACAAAACGACGUGCCCGAGAUACGACAGGGCUUGGGAUCGGGAGGUGUCGGAGGUAUUCCUGGAGGAGCGGUAAAAUGUGAUCAUCCCAGGAAGACCACCUGUGGCGAAAGCGUCCGACAAGAACGAGUCCGACGGUGAGGGACGAAAGCUAGGGGAGCAAACCGG